UGGCCUACGGGAGGCUGCAGUGGGGAAUAUUGCACAAUGGAGGAAACUCUGAUGCAGCAACGCCGCGUGGAGGAUGACGCAUUUCGGUGUGUAAACUCCUUUUAUAAGGGAAGAUAAUGACGGUACCUUAUGAAUAAGCACCGGCUAACUCCGUGCCAGCAGCCGCGGUAAUACGGAGGGUGCAAGCGUUACUCGGAAUCACUGGGCGUAAAGGAUGCGUAGGCUGGAAAUCAAGUCGAGAGUGAAAUCCAACGGCUCAACCGUUGAACUGCUCUCGAAACUGGUUACCUAGAAUAUGGGAGAGGUAGAUGGAAUUGGUGGUGUAGGGGUAAAAUCCGUAGAUAUCACCAGGAAUACCGAUUGCGAAGGCGAUCUACUGGAACAUUAUUGACGCUGAGGCAUGAAAGCGUGGGGAGCAAACAGGAUUAGAUACCCCGGUAGUC
rnacentral:rRNA from 1 species